rnacentral:rRNA from 1 species
AUUGAACGCUGGCGGCAUGCCUUACACAUGCAAGUCGAACGGUAACAGGUCUUCGGACGCUGACGAGUGGCGAACGGGUGAGUAAUACAUCGGAACGUGCCCAGUCGUGGGGGAUAACUACCCGAAAGAGUGGCUAAUACCGCAUACGAUCUGAGGAUGAAAGCGGGGGACCUUCGGGCCUCGCGCGAUUGGAGCGGCCGAUGGCAGAUUAGGUAGUUGGUGGGAUAAAAGCUUACCAAGCCGACGAUCUGUAGCUGGUCUGAGAGGACGACCAGCCACACUGGGACUGAGACACGGCCCAGACUCCUACGGGAGGCAGCAGUGGGGAAUUUUGGACAAUGGGCGAAAGCCUGAUCCAGCAAUGCCGCGUGCAGGAUGAAGGCCUUCGGGUUGUAAACUGCUUUUGUACGGAACGAAAAAGCUUCUCCUAAUACGAGAGGCCCAUGAUGGUACCGUAAGAAUAAGCACCGGCUAACUACGUGCCAGCCGCCGCAGUAAGAC